rnacentral:lncRNA from 1 species
GAUAUUCUAUAAGCUGAAAUAAAAAGAUAAAAUAAGCAAAGCUAGAGGAUUUACAUACAUCUCUAGUGACAAGAUUAAUUGUGCAAAGCAAAAAAGGAUAGCAAUGUAUCAACGGACUUAGCUUGAUGCCACAUCAAUUCACAUGUUCGAAGUUUGAUCCUCAAACGGACCAAUCUUGAAAAUAUUUUGUUGUUGAAUAAAUAUGAACCGAAGGAAUCAAACAUAUAAAAUAAUUCUAAGCAAUUAAGAAUCUACAAUUGACACAUAAUCGUGGUGCUAAUAGCAAAAUGGCCAUUUUCUUAAACAAAUUUUAGAACCAAAGAUAUUAAAUGGGAAACUUCUGGCUUCUGAGAUAAUGGAACUGGGUUUUCUCAUGCAGCUCAAGUACAUCCUUACCUUCUCAUUUAGAACCUGAAAGCUGAAAAGAAGCAAAAAAGAAAGUCAAAUUUGUGGUCACUGAAAACAUUAACAAUGUAAACCAAAAAUACAGUCUUCGCACGACUACCUUAUCAGAGAACUUGUAUAUAUUUGAAGGUGUGUCUAGAAGGCAAUUAAUUAAGUCUUAACUGAUGGAUUGCGUUUUAUCAGAAAAAUGGUUUUUUCAGUCAGCAAAUGAUGAAAAAAUGCAUCCUACGCUCCAAAUGGAAGGUAAAUGCUGCAUUUUGGAGAAAACAACAUUCUAAACAUGUUAAGAAACAUGAAUAUAAGCAAAAUCGGGGAAAUUAUUAAAGAUGAUUUUACUAUUCUUGGAAGCAAGAUAAGUUCGUUCGGAUGUUGUCGAAUUCAUUUAUUGUCCAACAUUAUAGUGUUACUAACAUGUCUACACUAUUAACUAAAAUGCUAACUAAGUGGCAACUAUUCUGUACCUUGCAGUUGUGUUUUCUAGAGCUCACUGAUCACAAGGGAAACAACACACGUGACAGGAGGAGGGGGCAGGGAGCAGCAUAGGAACUUAUAGCGAAAGCGGAAGGCAUGGCAAUUCUAGGCAGCAUUCAUGGUGCUGUUGGAAAACAUGUGAGUGCAAGCAUGAUAUUGAAGGUGCUAUGCCACUGCAUCUAUUUAAUAAAAUGUGCAAAGCUAAUUAACCUUGAAAGAUCCGCUUGGCUAAUUAACCUUGAAAGAUCCGCUUGUUGAGUUCAUCCUCUACAUAUCUAUACACGAAAUUUAUUCAGGUAAAAAUCCAUUUUCUUUAACACCGAAAGAAUCAUAAAAAUUGAUUGACUUAAAUGCAAUAUCACAAUAAAAUGGAUCUGAUGAGAAAGAGGAAAGAUGGAUCGCUUUGCUUACCUGACAAAGACGGAUGAUGAACCCUGCGUCG